rnacentral:piRNA from 1 species
CAGUGUACUAGGUCAGUCAGGAGG